AACACUGUCUCCAGAUAUGGCGUUCCCUCCAGUUAGAACGGACCAUGGAGGAGAAAACAACACUGUCUCCAGAUAUGGCAUUCCCUCCAGAGUUAGAAUGGACCAUGGAGGAGAAAACAACACUGUCUCCAGAUAUGGCGUUCCCUCCAGAGUUAGAACGGACCAUGGAGGAGAAAACAACACUGUCUCCAGAUAUGGCGUUCCCUCCAGUUAGAACGGACCAUGGAGGAGAAAACAACACUGUCUCCAGAUAUGGCAUUCCCUCCAGAGUUAGAACAGACCAUGGAGGAGAAAACAACACUGUCUCCAGAUAUGGCGUUCCCUCCAGAGUUAGAACGGACCAUGGAGGAGAAAACAACACUGUCUCCAGAUAUGGCGUUCCCUCCAGAGUUAGAACGGACCAUGGAGGAGAAAACAACACUGUCUCCAGAUAUGCCGUUCCCUCCAGAGUUAGAACGGACCAUGGAGGAGAAAACAACACUGUCUCCAGAUAUGGCGUUCCCUCCAGAGUUAGAACGGACCAUGGAGGAGAAAACAACACUGUCUCCAGAUAUGGCGUUCCCUCCAGUUAGAAAGGACCAUGGAGGAGAAAACAACACUGUCUCCAGAUAUGGCGUUCCCUCCAGUUAGAACGGACCAUGGAGGAGAAAACAACACUGUCUCCAGAUAUGGCGUUCCCUCCAGAGUUAGAAUGGACCAUGGAGGAGAAAACAACACUGUCUCCAGAUAUGGCGUUCCCUCCAGUUAGAACGGACCAUGGAGGAGAAAACAACACUGUCUCCAGAUAUGGCGUUCCCUCCAGAGUUAGAACGGACCAUGGAGGAGAAAACAACACUGUCUCCAGAUAUGGCGUUCCCUACAGAGUUAGAACGGACCAUGGAGGAGAAAACAACACUGUCUCCAGAUAUGGCGUUCCCUCCAGAGUUAGAACGGACCAUGGAGGAGAAAACAACACUGUCUCCAGAUAUGGCGUUCCCUCCAGUUAGAAAGGACCAUGGAGGAGAAAACAACACUGUCUCCAGAUAUGGCGUUCCCUCCAGUUAGAACGGACCAUGGAGGAGAAAACAACACUGUCUCCAGAUAUGGCGUUCCCUCCAGAGUUAGAAUGGACCAUGGAGGAGAAAACAACACUGUCUCCAGAUAUGGCGUUCCCUCCAGUUAGAACGGACCAUGGAGGAGAAAACAACACUGUCUCCAGAUAUGGCGUUCCCUCCAGAGUUAGAACGGACCAUGGAGGAGAAAACAACACUGUCUCCAGAUAUGGCGUUCCCUACAGAGUUAGAACGGACCAUGGAGGAGAAAACAACACUGUCUCCAGAUAUGGCGUUCCCUCCAGAGUUAGAACGGACCAUGGAGGAGAAAACAACACUGUCUCCAGAUAUGGCGUUCCCUCCAGUUAGAACGGACACACUUGUGGCAGCACCUAUUCCUGUGCCUCCUCCCAUCUUCUGCACCACUUCCUGUGGCCUCCCCUUCCCCAUUCCCCAAGGCUUAUCGUCCACCUUCACCACACUCUUCUGUUGAUGUUGGUGAUGACAGUGAUGUUGACCUCCAAACACUGCUGAAGUUAAUGAGAUGCCAACCAAAUUAACGUGAUGAGGGACAACAUUUAUGAUUGUGCAAUGAGAGCCUUUAAGAGAGUCCGCUUUAAUCCGGAGGCAAAAAUAGACAUGGUUUUUAGGGACGCUGAUGGAAAAGGGGCAGCUGAUGAGGGUGGUCCCUCAAGAGAAUUUAUCCGGCUGCUAAUGAGUGCAAUCCAUUCCUCUGCAAUAUUUGAGGGACCUGAUUGGCAAAAAUGUCUUUCUUGCAACUCUCAAGGUGAGUUACACUUUUACACCAACAAAGACACGUUUGUUUAUGGUAAUAUAUGACUUGAGUAAGACAUUUGAUUUUUGAAUGUAAUGUGUCCUUUAUUUACUGUUUUUCUUCUGUGUGACAGCACUCUAUGAUGGCGUAUACAAGCAGGUGGGCCGCAUGAUUGCUGUCUGUCUGGUACAUGGGGGUGUAGAGCUACAUUUUUUCAGAGGCUAUAAAUUAGCAAAACAAUAAACUGAUCACUACCCUCAAAAAAGAUUGACUGGGCCUCCUGGGUGGCGCAGUGGUUAAGGGCGCUGUACUGCAGCGUCAGCUGUGCCACCAGAGAAUCUUUCUGAAGUGUGUGGCCUACAACCUCCUGUGCCAGAACUGAAAGAAAUUGCAGAAUAGGACUUCUGAAAGAAGUUGGAGAAGGGGGGAACACAUACCCUUUAACCAUGGAGAAGGUUUAUAUUUUCAAGUCGGGGGCUUCAGCAUUCCUAGGCUGGGAUUGCCAGUGGAGCCACAGCUACAAUUCUCUCUGCUACCGCACGGAAAGUGGUACCGGAGCACCAAGUCUAGGUCUGUCACGACUUC